rnacentral:lncRNA from 1 species
GGGUAAAGAUAUAUUCUGACAUAUUCUUGCUAUUAUUAUGUCCAACUAAAAAUUGGAGUCAAAUUCUACAAGUUUUAAGUUAGAUUUUCUGUAACCAAAUCACCGAUCCUUAGUAUUUCUCAAAUACUUAAAGAUGACCUUCCAGUAAUUCUCAUCCAGAUCUUGCAGGUAUCCACUCACUACUCUAUUGAGUAUACCAUAUCCUAUCUCAUACAUGGUGUAUAUGAUAGAAUAAAUUCUACUCAUAAAUACUCUAUGUAUGU